rnacentral:rRNA from 1 species
CCUACGGGAGGCUGCAGUGGGAAAUAUUGGACAAUGGGCGAAAGCCUGAUCCAGCCAUGCCGCGUGUGUGAAGAAGGCCUUCGGGUUGUAAAGCACUUUCAGUGGGGAAGAAAGCCUUGGGGCUAAUACCCUCGAGGAAGGACAUCACCCACAGAAGAAGCACCGGCUAACUCCGUGCCAGCAGCCGCGGUAAUACGGAGGGUGCGAGCGUUAAUCGGAAUUACUGGGCGUAAAGCGCGCGUAGGCGGUCUGAUAAGCCGGUUGUGAAAGCCCCGGGCUCAACCUGGGAACGGCAUCCGGAACUGUCAGGCUAGAGUGCAGGAGAGGAAGGUAGAAUUCCCGGUGUAGCGGUGAAAUGCGUAGAGAUCGGGAGGAAUACCAGUGGCGAAGGCGGCCUUCUGGACUGACACUGACGCUGAGGUGCGAAAGCGUGGGUAGCAAACAGGAUUAGAUACCCCAGUAGUC